rnacentral:tRNA from 1 species
GGGGUUGUGGCUCAGUGGUGGAGCACUCGCCUAGCAUGGGUGAGGUCCUGGGUUCGAUUCUCAGCACCA